rnacentral:rRNA from 1 species
GACGAACGCUGGCGGCGUGCUUAACACAUGCAAGUCGAACGAAGUGGCGAACGUGUGAGUAAGGCGUAAUCAACCUGCCCUUCAGUGGGGGACAACAGUUGGAAACGACUGCUAAUACCGCAUGCUGAAGGAGGGGAUUGCGUCUGAUUAGCUAGUUGGAUGGGGAAAGGCCCACCAAGGCGAUGAUCAGUAACCGGUCCGAGAGGAUGAACGGCCACAUUGGGAACUGGAACAGGCCCCGACUCCCACGGGAGGCAGGAGUGGGGAAUCUUCCGAAAUGGACGAAAGUCUGACGGAGCAACGCCGCGUGAGUGAUGACGGCCUUCGGGUUGUAAAGCUCUGUUAAUCGGGACGCGGUACCGGAAUAGAAAGCCACGGCUAACUACGUGCCAGCAGCCGCGGUAAUAC